rnacentral:rRNA from 2 species
GCGCGCAGGAGGUUCCUUAAGUCUGAUGUGAAAGCCCACGGCUCAACCGUGGAGGGUCAUUGGAAACUGGGGAACUUGAGUGCAGAAGAGAAGAGUGGAAUUCCACGUGUAGCGGUGAAAUGCGUAGAGAUGUGGAGGAACACCAGUGGCGAAGGCGACUCUUUGGUCUGUAACUGACGCUCAGGCGCGAAAGCGUGGGGAGCAAACAGGAUUAGAUACCCUGGUAGUCCACGCCGUAAACGAUGAGUGCUAAGUGUUAGAGGGUUUCCGCCCUUUAUUGCUGCAGCAAACGCAUUAAGCACUCCGCCUGGGGAGUACGGCCGCAAGGCUGAAACUCAAAGGAUUGACGGGGGCCCGCACAAG